GCCACCUUAGCUCAGUGGUAGAGCAAGUGUUUUGUAAACACUAGGUCCAGAGUUCGAGUCUCUGAGGUGGCU
rnacentral:tRNA from 1 species